AUUGAACGCUGGCGGCAGGCUUAACACAUGCCAGUCGAACGAGUGGCGGACGUGUGAGUAAUGCUUGGGAAUCUGUCUUAUGGAGGGGGAUAAAGACGGGAAACUGUCGAUAAUACCGCGUACCAUAAGAUGAGCCCAAGUGGGAUUGGGUAGUUGGUGGUGUAAUGGCCUACCAAGCCGACGAUCUCUAGCUGGUAUGAGAGGAAGACCAGCCACCCCGGGACUGAGACACGGCCCGGACUCCUACGGGAGGCAGCAGUGGGGAAUAUUGCGCAAUGGGGGCAACCUGACGCAGCCAUGCCGCGUGAAUGAAGAAGGCCUUCGGGUUGUAAAGUUCUUUCGGUGGAGAGGCGUUAAUCACAGAAGAAGCACCGGCUAACUCCGUGCCAGCAGCCGCGGUAAUAC
rnacentral:rRNA from 1 species